rnacentral:lncRNA from 1 species
CGCAAAUGUAAUACCAAUGAAAGAAAUUUAUUGGUUAUCUCAUAAAAUGACAUAAUUUCAUAUUGGACUACUCUUAGUACAUCUCAGCUCAACAAGAUAAGAAGAGUUAAGGGACUAUAUGAGAUAUGAUCUGAUUCAUAAUAGACUUCACUGAUUUAUGUUUCUUUAAAAACAUGCUUUAUUUCUAUGAAAUUAGGUUCUUUCUAAGCCUAUUCUUAUCACACCGUAUGAGAUAUGACAUAUGGUGAGAACUGAAUCUUGAUUAUUUUGAGAUUCAAAGAUAUCCAGCCUGUGUCUAGAACAGCAGGUGGAUAUGUUAGAUGAUAGGUCUAUAAAGCUCAUCCUUAAAGAGUUUGGGAUAUUACUUUCUGAUGGGAUUACAAUGUGAUUGUAACCCGAUAUGCUAUCCUUUUAAAAAACUAUUAGACCAAAAUAAAGCAGUGAGAAGAAAGUUAAGCUCAAAGAGAGUCUCUGAAAAGCAAUGAGCCUUGGGAUCUUAAGAACUUAUUCAUCAUCAGCCAGUAGAUGUAUAUUUCUCCUCCACUUCGUACAUAUAGUAAGAUCUCCAAUCCUCUCGAAAGAUACUCAGGUAUGCUUAGUAGAAGAUGUAGAGAAAAUCAUUUCUCAUGAGAGAUGGGAAGCGCAUAGAGAUGAUCCCAGAAUCUACAACGAGGCGAUGUGAGACAUCGACGUCAAGAAAGGAAUGAGAAAUAGCUUUCUUGAAAAGAGAUCUUUUUAAAGAUUUCUAUAUAGAAUAGCCUAUGGAUUUUACUUCUUAUGAUAGGUGAUCACAAAGUCUAUAAUAAUCUUGGAGUUGGAACGAGUCAUUUGAUGAUAUAAUCAAAUUAUUUGAUCAGAAAAGAGAUUAUGAUUUUCAAAAAGAUCAGUGGGAGUGUCCAAUACUGACAUCAGUUAAAAUAUGGUUGAAUAUAGAUUUCUCCAUUAAAGAUAUAAAGCAGACAUCCUAAAGAUCUAUAGAGAUAGAUGCAACUGGAUGCUUGUGUUUUCAUAGAUAAAGUACAGAGACUGGAUGCUGAAAGAGUUCAGCAUAGAAAUCUCAUAGAAAUAUCUGCUAUCCUCUCAGGCAUAGUCGUAUGUUGUAAUAUACUUGAACUGAUAUAAAUAAUAUCACGAAUAUCACGAGUAGAUAUCAGUUGUAUCUAGACUGUCAGCGCUGGAUUGCUGUGAAAACGACCUUAAGCUCUCGAGAAGAACUGA